GUGAUUGCUUCGGUGCACAUACACUAAAAUUGGAAUAAUACAGAGAUUAGCAUGGUCCCUGUGCAAGGAUAACACGCAAAUUUGUGAAGCAUGCCAUGUUUUA
rnacentral:snRNA from 1 species